rnacentral:rRNA from 1 species
CGAAAGUCUGACCGAGCAACGCCGCGUGAGUGAAGAAGGUUUUCGGAUCGUAAAGCUCUGUUGUAAGUCAAGAACGUGUGUGAGAGUGGAAAGUUCACACAGUGACGGUAGCUUACCAGAAAGGGACGGCUAACUACGUGCCAGCAGCCGCGGUAAUACGUAGGUCCCGAGCGUUGUCCGGAUUUAUUGGGCGUAAAGGGAGCGCAGGCGGUCAGGAAAGUCUGGAGUAAAAGGCUAUGGCUCAACCAUAGUGUGUUCUGGAAACUGUCUGACCUGAGUGCAGAAGGGGAGGGUGGAAUUCCAUGUGUAGCGGUGAAAUGCGUAGAUAUAUGGAGGAACACCAGUGGCGAAAGCGGCUCUCUGGUCUGUCACUGACGCUGAGGCUCGAAAGCGUGGGUAGCGAACAGGAUUAGAUACCCUGGUAGUCCACGCCGUAAACGAUGAGUGCUAGGUGUUAGGCCCCUUUCGGGGCUUAGUGCCGGAGCUAACGCAGUAAGCACUCCGCCUGGGGAGUACGACCGCAAGGUUGAAACUCAAAGGAAUUGACGGGGGCCCGCACCAAGCGGUGGAGCAUGUGG